UACGCUUUUUCUAAAGUCUAAGCCAUGCAUGCCUAAGCCUAGGAGGUAGUAAUACUCUCUGAAUCUGCGAACGGCUCCGCACACCAGUUGUAAACCACAGCAAGAUACCCUGGGUAGCAGCUGCAUUGCUUCGGCAGUGUGGUGUUAGCUUCCAGGGCACACGGAUAGCCGUGGUAAUUCUGCAGCUAAUACGUUAAUUGCCCCCUUCAGUGCUAUCAGGGGCAGGGUUCUCACGGGCCCUGCUCACGCACUGAGGGACGGUGUAGUACUUAGGCUUGGUCUUAUCAUGGAAGGACUGCACUCGUCGGACUGCCAUACAAACCCAACCUGUUACAGCCUGAGCGGGCCUUCGGGCUUAGCAACGGCCACGCUUGUUGGGGGCAGCGCUUGGCUGGUGCUUCUGACCUAUCAACUAUACAGCAGCCUAAAGGACAUGCUAUGGUUUCUACGGGUACAGAGGAUUAGGGUUCGAUCCUGGAGAGUGGGCCUGAGAGAUUGCUCACACUUCUAAGGAAGGCAGCAGGCGCGCAACGUUCCCCUUGUGCAAAGCACGAGGGCGUUAGGGGAAAUAUGAAUAGCUGCCUUAGGGUGGCUAAUUCAAAUGGGUCUGUCGUAAACAGGCUCUCGAGUAACAAUUAGAGGA
rnacentral:rRNA from 1 species